AAUAUACUGUUUAUUUACAUCCUGAAACAAUAUGAGCUUCGCUAAUUUUCUUUACUUCAUUGCGAUUAUAGUUCAAGGAUGUAGGGCUCCGGCUUGUUUUAGCAGGAUUAAAUUUAAUUCGGCUAAUUACAUCUGAUCUCAGUGUGCGUCAGGUUUACAGGAAGUGAUAUAUUUGCCUAAUAAUAACUGCAACAAAACAAGCAUGUGCAUGAAAAGUAGUAGAAAAAGAUUUAAAAAUUUAAUAAACCUUUUUAUAUUUUUUUAAGUCACAAUAAAAAGGAUUCAAAAGAACUAAUUAUGUAUCGACCUUAUAUAGAGGGUAUUGGGAUGUGGCCUCAGCUUGGAUCGAUCUUAUCUUUGCUGUAAAUUUUGUUUGGCUGUUGUAGCCCAGUCUCGGGUUGAGUGUCCAUUCCGUUCC